rnacentral:lncRNA from 1 species
AGACACAUCAUCAUCUUCUCCAAACAGAAACCCUAAUUCCCAAGUCCAAACCCUAGCCAUCGUUCUGCAUCCGCCAGGCCACCACAGCGCCACCACCAACAACUAUCCUCCAUGGCAACCACCCAGCCAUCCUCGCCGAAGCACUAGUCGUCGUCGCAAAUCACAGAGUCACCAUCUUCAUCUUCUUUGCCAUGAACACAUGUGCAAAUCAGUUUCAACACACAUCCAUGGUCGCUGCUGCCACCAAGCCACCACCAUGAAGCUUCUUCU